rnacentral:rRNA from 1 species
AUUGAACGCUGGCGGCAGGCUUAACACAUGCAAGUCGAGCGGAGUGAUGGUGCUUGCACUAUCACUUAGCGGCGGACGGGUGAGUAAUGCUUAGGAAUCUGCCUAUUAGUGGGGGACAACAUCUCGAAAGGGAUGCUAAUGCCGCAUACGUCCUACGGGAGAAAGCAGGGGAUCACUUGUGACCUUGCGCUAAUAGAUGAGCCUCAGUCGGAUUAGCUAGUUGGUGGGGUAAAGGCCUACCAAGGCGACGAUCUGUAGCGGAUCUGAGAGGAUGAUCAGCCACACUGGAACUGAGAAACGGUCCAGACUCCUACGGGAGGCAGCAGUGGGGAAUAUUGGACAAUGGGGGGAACCCUGAUCCAGCCAUGCCGCGUGUGUGAAGAAGGCCUUAUGGUUGUAAAGCACUUUAAGCGAGGAGGAGGCUACUCUAGUUAAUACCUAGGGAUAGUGGACGUUACUCGCAGAAUAAGCACCGGCUAACUCUGUGCCAGCCGCCGCGGUAA